AUGGAAUCACAGACUCUGGUCUUCAUAUCCAUACUGCUCUGGUUAUAUGGUGCUGAUGGGAACAUUGUAAUGACCCAAUCUCCCAAAUCCAUGUCCAUGUCAGUAGGAGAGAGGGUCACCUUGAGCUGCAAGGCCAGUGAGAAUGUGGGUACUUAUGUAUCCUGGUAUCAACAGAAACCAGAGCAGUCUCCUAAACUGCUGAUAUACGGGGCAUCCAACCGGUACCCUGGGGUCCCUGAUCGCUUCACAGGCAGUGGAUCUGCAACAGAUUUCACUCUGACCAUCAGCAGUCUGCAGGCUGAAGACCUUGCAGAUUAUCACUGUGGACAGGGUUACAGCUAUCUUCC